rnacentral:tRNA from 1 species
UGGCUCAGUGGUUAAGAGCACUGGUCUCUUUUCCAGAGGACCAGGGUUCAAUUCCCAG